CGUGCCAGCAGCCGCGGUAAUACGUAGGGUGCGAGCGUUAAUCGGAAUUACUGGGCGUAAAGCGUGCGCAGGCGGUUUUGUAAGACAGGCGUGAAAUCCCCGGGCUUAACCUGGGAACUGCGUUUGUGACUGCAAGGCUAGAGUACGGCAGAGGGGGGUGGAAUUCCACGUGUAGCAGUGAAAUGCGUAGAGAUGUGGAGGAACACCAAUGGCGAAGGCAGCCCCCUGGGUCGAUACUGACGCUCAUGCACGAAAGCGUGGGUAGCAAACAGGAUUAGAUACCCUGGUAGUCCACGCCCUAAACUAUGUCAACUAGGUGUUGGGUGGGUAAAACCAUUUAGUACCGUAGCUAACGCGUGAAGUUGACCGCCUGGGGAGUACGGCCGCAAGGUUAAAACUCAAAGGAAUUGACGGGGACCCGCACAAGCGGUGGAUGAUGUGGAUUAAUUCGAUGCAACGCGAAAAACCUUACCUACCCUUGACAUGCCAGGAACUUGCCAGAGAUGGCUUGGUGCCCGAAAGGGAGCCUGG
rnacentral:rRNA from 1 species